AAGAGAUUAAAUUUGAUUCUGGUUUAUGAAGAUUUUUUUAUGAUAAUCAAUAAUAUGUAAGUUUUUGCGAGAGGAGUAAUAAAUUUAAAUAAUUUGUUUAAUUAAUACGCAGUUUUUAAUUUUAUGUAUUUAGUAAAUUAAGACAUAGUUAAUUAUUAUUAUUAACUAGCUAAAAUUGUGCCAGCAGCUGCGGUUAUACAAUUAGUUAUAAUUAUCUUUAUUGGGUAUUUAUUAAAUUAUAAUUAAAAUUAAUGUAAAUAUAAUUAUUUUAAAGUGAAAUUUGAAUAAUUAUAAAAUAUUUUGGUCAAUUUUUAUGAUUAUGAGAAAUUUGAGGUUUAAACUAGGAUUAGAUACCCUAUUAUUUUAAAUGUAAAUUGUUAUUCUUAGUAUUAUAAGUUAAGAUCUUUAAAUUGAAAGAAUUUGACGGUAAUUUAAUCAUUUUAGAGGAACCUGUUCUGUAAUCGAUAAUCCACGAUGAAUUUUACCUUAUUGUUUGUUUGUAUAUCUCUGUCUGAAUUGAAUGUUUUAUUAGGAUUAAAAUUUUCUUCUGUUCUUAUAGGAUAUUAUGUCAGGUCAAGGUGCAGCUAUUAUUAAGGGUUGAAAUGGGUUACAUUUAAAGUUGAAAAUUAUUGGAUUAAAAAGAUUUAUGUAUAUAUUUUAUUAAAUUGGAUUUAAUUGUAAUGGACAAUAUGUUUUGUUCAUGAUAUAUGUUCUUGAUUAAGUACAUAUCGCCCGUCGCUCCCAUUUAUAAAUGGGAUAAGUCGUAACAAAGUAGUCCUAUCGGAAGAUGGGUCUGGAAUUAUA
rnacentral:ncRNA from 1 species